rnacentral:rRNA from 1 species
AUACGGAGGAUCCGAGCGUUAUCCGGAUUUAUUGGGUUUAAAGGGUGCGCAGGCGGGAGAUUAAGUCGGCGGUGAAAUUUUGCAGCUCAACUGUAAAAGUGCCUUCGAAACUGGUUUCCUUGAGUGUAGAUGAAGUAGGCGGAAUUUGUGGUGUAGCGGUGAAAUGCAUAGAUAUCACGAGGAACUCCGAUUGCGCAGGCAGCUUACUAAACUACUACUGACGCUCAGGCAGGAAGGCGUGGGGAUCAAACAGGAUUAGAUACCCUGGUAGUCCACGCAGUAAACGAUGAUUACUAGCUGUUUGCGAUACAAUGUAAGCGGCUGAGCGAAAGCGUUAAGUAAUCCACCUGGGGAGUACGUUCGCAAGAAUGAAACUCAAAUGAAUUGACGGGG